ACGGGAGGCAGCAGUGGGGAAUAUUGCGCAAUGGGGGCAACCCUGACGCAGCAACGCCGCGUGAAGGAAGAAGGUCUUCGGAUUGUAAACUUUUGUCCUAUGGGACGAUAAUGACGGUACCAUAGAAGAAAGCUCCGGCUAACUACGUGCCAGCAGCCGCGGUAAUACGUAGGGAGCGAGCGUUGUCCGGAAUUACUGGGUGUAAAGGGUGCGUAGGCGGGUCUGCAAGUCAGAUGUGAAAUCUACGGGCUUAACUCGUAGCCUGCAUUUGAAACUGCAGAUCUUGAGGACAGGAGAGGCAAGCGGAAUUCCCAGUGUAGCGGUGAAAUGCGUAGAUAUUGGGAGGAACACCAGUGGCGAAGGCGGCUUGCUGGACUGUAGCUGACGCUGAGGCACGAAAGCGUGGGGAGCAAACAGGAUUAGAUACCCUGGUA
rnacentral:rRNA from 1 species